AUCAUUUGGGUUAAAGAGCUUCUACAUAUUGGUGUAUUAACCAUUGCAGAAACAUACAAAAUGAUGUUUGUAAUUACCAAUGCUGUUAAUUUAGGGCAGCUGUGGCACAAACCUUACUUUGGGUGGAGGUCUAAUAGAUUUGUAAAGCACCGUGUUAAAAAUCUCAAAUCCUCAGUCCUACUGAGACAAUCAUGGCAGAGCAGGGAGGAGGAGCCUCAAGAGGUUAUUUAAGAGAUGGGUGUGGUUAUCGGCCUCCCUUUGGUCCUUGAGCCUGCUCUGUCCAUGCUGCCACAGCACUUAAGUAGAAGUUUGUUUGACCACUGAAACCACAAAGAAGAUCUAGAGACUUAGAAUUGUUUGUCUACUUUAAAGGACACAUAUGAGAAGCUGAAGCAAUUCCUCACUCCUUGUGUAACAUAUUGGAUGCAUAAAUUAAUGGUUACUUCACUUCAGUGCAGGCCGUGCUGUUUGGGGCAACUCCCCCUCAACGAAGUGGUCCUGCAAGUGUUGCAGUUUCUCCUCGCCAAACAAACACACACUAAUUGUCCAUUAUAAACUGAAGCACUGUCAUCAGGCAAGGAACUGUCCUCUUCCUUGUGUCUAUGCAGACUGUGUGCAUGGCCGUAACUACCAUUGAGGACACUGAGGUCAUGUCCUCGGUAUUUUUUUCAAGAGACAAAAAGAAGGUGAUAUAACUGAUGGCAAAUAUACUUUGUGUUGGACAUCACUUGCGCCUCUACAUCACUGUGCGGUAGAUCAUCCUCUCGUAACUACACGAUCUUUGGUCAUCACAGUGGUUUGAAGGUGGUCUGCCCCAAAAAUCCACCAGAUUAGUACUGAUUUCUAAUGUAUAGACCGCUACAACAGAGUCCAGCCAAGGUAACGCAAUGGAAGUUCACUUUACAUUUAAUUAUACAUAUAUUGACGUCACGUAACUGACGUUGGUUUCACUUGAAUGAAAUGAAUAUUAACGCUGUCGGUAUAAUAGCGCUGUGGACAGCAUUUAUGUUUCUCCGUGCUGUGUCGUCGGGUGAUUUUUAUCACCAGAGAUGAAGAAAUUUACCCAAACCUUGCUCCCCUUUGGGAAAAUAACUGGACAGGAAGAGGAUGAGAGGGGGAGAAAAAGAAAGAAAAGUGGUGAGUGAGAAGUCAAGUGCUGCCCACAGUUCCCACCCAGGACAGGAUUAUCCUUGUACCAUAUAUGAUGUUAAACAAACAAUACUGUCCUCUGAUCAAGUUCAAACAAUGUAAUGACCACAGAGGUUUUCUAUGGCAGUCAUAAUGGAACUUAUAUAGCACUGAUCAUCAACUGGCGGCCCGGGGGCCAUAUCAGGCCCCCCAAAGCUUCCUAUCCGGCCCCUGAAGAUCAUUACAUUCAGAAAAGGAGGAAAAGAAGAUCUUCUGGUUUUAAGAGUAUCCCUUGGCUUUAAAUGUCUGCAGCUGUUAAAUCCAUCCCACAAACAAUACUGA